AUGGACUGUUGGCUGCUGGGCUGUGUGGCUCUCUGUCUCCUGGGAGCGGCAGCCUCCAUGGACACUGGAAUUACCCAGAUGCCUAAAUACCUGGUGAUGGUGAAGGCAGGGAAAGCCACUCUGAAGUGUGAACAACACCUGAGGCAUGAUGCUAUGUACUGGUAUAGACAGAGUGCUCAGAAGCCACCAGAACUCAUGUUUCACUACUAUUAUCAGAAACUUACUGACAAUAACACAAUUCCUGGUCGCUUCUUGCCUGCAUGCCCAGACAGCUCCCACUUGAACCUGCAAGUGGACCCUGUGAAGCCAGAAGACACCUCUGUGUACCUCUGUGCCAGCAGCAAAGACACAGCCCCACACAGUCCACUUCUCCCUGUGCACAAACCUCCUGGUAGCUGCAGGAAGCAGGGCUCAGCAGGGUUCAGCAGGGCUCAGCUCCCCAUUUCCUGGAGCUUUUCACAUUGA